CUGAGGCUACUGGGGCAGGACAGGCGAGGAGCCACAGCAAUGGCUCCCCAUAACUGAUGGGCUUCGCUUUUCUGCUUUACCAGGCCCCGCUGGCCCCGA
rnacentral:pre_miRNA from 1 species